GGGACCUCAUGUACCUGUUUGUGAUCACGGCCGAGGACCGGCAAGUCAGCAUCACCGCGUCCACACGGGGAUUUUACCUGAAUCAGUCCACGGCUUAUCACUUCAACCCCAAGCCCGCCAGCCCCCGCUUCCUAAGCCAUUCCCUAGUGGAGCUGCUCAACCAGAUCAGCCCGACCUUCAAGAAGAACUUCGCUGUGCUGCAGAAGAAAAGGUAGUGCCUUCCUCUCCCGCCUU
rnacentral:sRNA from 1 species